rnacentral:lncRNA from 1 species
UUUAACUUGCAAACCAUCCAUAUAAAGUGUAAGAUUACUACAGCCUCUACAAUACUCAGUGAUGGCAUACAUGACAAACAAAAGAUCGUGUAGGAAACACUACCAUUCUGCAUAGCAGAACUACUAUCCAUCCCAUUCAUCUGGAUGUAGAAGAAUUACUUUUCUAUCUUGCCAGUUCACUAAUCAGUACAAAAAUGUGACGUUGCUGAAGCCAGCAGCUUGCUUAUCUUCAUGAUAGCUCCAAUGAUCCACACUUUAAAAACAAAAUUCAAGGCAUUUUUUGCGACAUGAAAUGCAAGGCAUUAUUAACUCUGUAUCAUUGCUAAUAAACCCAUCUUAGUGCUUAUACACCCAGCCUAAAAUAUGAGAAGAGCAAAAACAAGAAUCUGCAUACGGAAUGACAAUUAGAUUGGUCUCAAAGCUCCCUUCCCCAAUUCGAAUUUUGUUCUCUUGCGCACACAUCAGACUAACACAUAUGAUCUGAAACAAGAGGAACAGCGGGCUAGAUACCUUGGAGACAAUCCAUUGCGUCUGGACCUCGAGGUCAGCAAGAGAGCACGUUUUGUGUGGUAGCCACAAG